CUCAUACGCCUGCCUGCCUACAUCAAAUGCCGACCAUCUCCUCCAAGAGCCUGAAACAAUCAUCAUCUGUAAAUACUCACCUGACUCACCGUGCACUCCUGGACUUCCCUCUCAUCCAUUCCUCGUGUUCUUCUCCAAACCUGAAACCCUGGACCUACCCUUUUCCCCUUCACUUGUAAAUAAACAUUCACCAUUUU